rnacentral:rRNA from 1 species
UGGGGAAUAUUGGGCAAUGGGGGCAACCCUGACCCAGCGACGCCGCGUGAGGGAAGAAGGCCUUAGGGUCGUAAACCUCUGUUGUGUGGGAAGAAGGAAGUGACGGUACCACACGAGGAAGUCCCGGCUAACUACGUGCCAGCAGCCGCGGUAAUACGUAGGGGACGAACGUUGUCCGGAAUUACUGGGCGUAAAGGGCGCGUAGGCGGUCAUUUAAGUCAGCUGUGAAAUAGUCCGGCUCAACCGGAUCAUGCGGUUGAAACUGGAUGACUGGAGUGCUGGAGAGGCAAGUGGAAUUCCCAGUGUAGCGGUGAAAUGCGUAGAUAUUGGGAAGAACACCGGUGGCGAAGGCGACUGCUGGCCAGCAACUGACGCUGAGGCGCGAAAGCCAGGGGAGCAAACGG